AUUGAACGCUGGCGGCAGGCCUAACACAUGCAAGUCGAGCGAGCGGCGGACGGGUGAGUAAUGUCUGGGAAACUGCCUGAUGGAGGGGGAUAACUACUGGAAACGGUAGCUAAUACCGCAUACCAUCAGAUGUGCCCAGAUGGGAGUCGCUAGUAGGUGGGGUAAGGGCUCACCUAGUCGACGAUCCCUAGCUGAUCUGAGAGGAUGACCAGCAACACUGGAACUGAGACACGGUCCAGACUCCUACGGGAGGCAGCAGUGGGGAAGAUUGGGCAAUGGGCGCAAGGCUGAUGCAGCCAUGCCGCGUGUGUGAAGAAGGCCUUCGGGUUGUAAAGCACUUUCAGCGGGGAGGCGUUACCCGCAGAAGAAGCACCGGCUAACUCCGUGCCAGCAGCCGCGGUAAUUC
rnacentral:rRNA from 1 species